GACGAACGCUGGCGGCGUGCUUAACACAUGCAAGUCGAGCGGAAAGGCCCUGCUUUUGUGGGGUGCUCGAGUGGCGAACGGGUGAGUAACACGUGAGUAACCUGCCCUUGACUUUGGGAUAACUUCAGGAAACUGGGGCUAAUACCGGAUAGGAGCUCCUGCUGCAUGGUGGGGGUUGGAAAGUUUCGGCGGUUGGGGAUGGACUCGCGGCUUAUCAGCUUGUUGGUGGGGUAGUGGCUUACCAAGGCUUUGACGGGUAGCCGGCCUGAGAGGGUGACCGGCCACAUUGGGACUGAGAUACGGCCCAGACUCCUACGGGAGGCAGCAGUGGGGAAUAUUGCACAAUGAGCGGAAGCCUGAUGCAGCAACGCCGCGUGCGGGAUGACGGCCUUCGGGUUGUAAACCGCUUUCGCCUGUGACGAAGCGUGAGUGACGGUAAUGGGUAAAGAAGCACCGGCUAACUACGUG
rnacentral:rRNA from 1 species